UAAACAGGAAAAUACACCAGGAGUGCUUGUGCUCAGAGGAAAGGCUGUGUGAAGACAGAGCAAGAAGGUACUGUCUGCAAGUCAAAAAGAGAACUCUCACCAGAAACCAACCCAGUUGGCAGCUUGAUCUGGGACAUCCAGUUUCCAGAAGUAUAUGCUAACUGUGACACAGAAAGAUUAAAAGCAGCCCAGAAACUUCAGUGCGAUCAGAUAUGCAAUAAAAUGGCAUUGGUGAGCAGAUCAA